GAAAAAAAGUGUACAGGUGUGACGCAGAAGAAACAGACAAUGAGGCCCUCGGAUUCAGCACAGGCAAUAUGCAAAUAUAAGGCAAAACUUGUAUAAUAUUGACACCCAGGAUCCUCUCGUGGACAGCUACAUCAGCAGUACAAACUUGAUCUCUAUUUCAGAAAUCACUGUGUACACAGUUCAUCGUACAGUCUGCCUGUCACCGAAAAAUGAAAAAUGGAGGCCCCAAGCGAUACAAAGCCGACGUCACACAGGGUCACGUGGCGAAUGGCGUCCAGGUGACGUCAACAGGACUGACGCUGCGGCGAACUGUGACCCUCCUGGGCGCGAUCAGCUUCAACAUGGGAAUGAUUAUUGGUUCCGGAAUCUUCAUCACACCGACAUCAGUGUUACAACACACCGGUUCUGUUGGCCUCGCCCUCAUCGUCUGGUCACUAGGUGGAGUUAUGUCUCUGUUAGGGUCCCUGACUUUUUCUGAGCUGGCCUGCCGAGUGCCUAAACAUGGUGGACAGUACGCCUACUUGAAGGAGGGGCUGGGGUCGUGGGUUGGCUUCCUGUUCACCUUUAAGCUGAUACUACUUGACUUCCCGGCAGGCAUAGCGGUGCAGGCCAUGACGUUCUCGGAGUAUCUUGUCAACUCUGUCCAGCUGUGCGGCACCCCGGGACCUCUAGUCACAGUCACCUCCGUCACUUUGAUAGUGACCUUAUGCGCAUUGAACCUUGCCAGCGCGAGGACAUCAGCUGUCGUCAGCAUCGUCUUCCUCUAUGCCAAGCUGCUGGCACUGGGCGUCAUCAUCGUUGGGGCGUGUACCGGUUGGCCUCAGGGCAAGAUGAAACCUCAGACCUGUCCACUGGGUUUCAUGGGACGGAGACGUCGGCAGCAUCCAUUGCAAAGUCCUUCUACUUUGUCAUGUGGGCCUAUGGAGGAUGGAAUAACAUCAACAAUAUUACAGAAGAAGUCAAAAAUCCAAAAAGAAACAUCCCGUUGGCCAGCGUGUUCAGUGUCUUUGCUGUGACCAUCAUCUACCUCCUCACCAUCGUGUCAUACCUGGCUGUUAUGUCCCGCCAAGACAUGCUAGCAAGUAGCACGGUUGCUAUGACAUGGGGAACCAAAGUCUUGGGUGGCGGGGUGGCGUCUUUGCUCAUCUCUCUGUCAGUGAUGGCUUCCACGGCCGGCAGCGGCAACGCAGGAAUUUUUACCUCUCCCAG
rnacentral:misc_RNA from 1 species